UACCGACCUGCAUGAAUGGCGUAACGAGAUGGGAGCUGUCUCAAAGAGGGAUCCAGUGAAAUUGUAGUGGAGGUGAAAAUUCCUCCUACCCGCGGCAAGACGGAAAGACCCCGUGGACCUUUACUACAGCUUGACACUGCUACUUGGAUAAGAAUGUGCAGGAUAGGUGGGAGGCUUUGAGUAUAUGACGCCAGUUGUAUAUGAGCCAUUGUUGAGAUACCACUCUUUCUUAUUUGGGUAGCUAACCAGCUUGAGUUAUCCUCAAGUGGGACAAUGUCUGGUGGGUAGUUUGACUGGGGCGGUCGCCUCCCAAAUAAUAACGGAGGCUUACAAAGGUUGGCUCAGAACGGUUGGAAAUCGUUCGUAGAGUAUAAAGGUAUAAGCCAGCUUAACUGCAAGACAUACAAGUCAAGCAGAGACGAAAGUCGGUCUUAGUGAUCCGGUGGUUCUGUGUGGAAGGGCCAUCGCUCAAAGGAUAAAAGGUACCCCGGGGAUAACAGGCUGAUCUCCCCCAAGAGCUCACAUCGACGGGGAGGUUUGGCACCUCGAUGUCGGCUCAUCGCAUCCUGGGGCUGGAGCAGGUCCCAAGGGUAUGGCUGUUCGCCAUUUAAAGCGG
rnacentral:rRNA from 1 species